rnacentral:rRNA from 2 species
AUUAAUUUGAGAGUUUGAUCCUGGCUCAGGACGAACGCUGGCGGCGUGCCUAAUACAUGCAAGUCGAACGAACUCUGGUAUUGAUUGGUGCUUGCAUCAUGAUUUACAUUUGAGUGAGUGGCGAACUGGUGAGUAACACGUGGGAAACCUGCCCAGAAGCGGGGGAUAACACCUGGAAACAGAUGCUAAUACCGCAUAACAACUUGGACCGCAUGGUCCGAGUUUGAAAGAUGGCUUCGGCUAUCACUUUUGGAUGGUCCCGCGGCGUAUUAGCUAGAUGGUGGGGUAACGGCUCACCAUGGCAAUGAUACGUAGCCGACCUGAGAGGGUAAUCGGCCACAUUGGGACUGAGACACGGCCCAAACUCCUACGGGAGGCAGCAGUAGGGAAUCUUCCACAAUGGACGAAAGUCUGAUGGAGCAACGCCGCGUGAGUGAAGAAGGGUUUCGGCUCGUAAAACUCUGUUGUUAAAGAAGAACAUAUCUGAGAGUAACUGUUCAGGUAUUGACGGUAUUUAACCAGAAAGCCACGGCUAACUACGUGCCAGCAGCCGCGGUAAUACGUAGGUGGCAAGCGUUGUCCGGAUUUAUUGGGCGUAAAGCGAGCGCAGGCGGUUUUUUAAGUCUGAUGUGAAAGCCUUCGGCUCAACCGAAGAAGUGCAUCGGAAACUGGGAAACUUGAGUGCAGAAGAGGACAGUGGAACUCCAUGUGUAGCGGUGAAAUGCGUAGAUAUAUGGAAGAACACCAGUGGCGAAGGCGGCUGUCUGGUCUGUAACUGACGCUGAGGCUCGAAAGUAUGGGUAGCAAACAGGAUUAGAUACCCUGGUAGUCCAUACCGUAAACGAUGAAUGCUAAGUGUUGGAGGGUUUCCGCCCUUCAGUGCUGCAGCUAACGCAUUAAGCAUUCCGCCUGGGGAGUACGGCCGCAAGGCUGAAACUCAAAGGGAUUGACGGGGGCCCGCACAAGCGGUGGAGCAUGUGGUUUAAUUCGAAGCUACGCGAAGAACCUUACCAGGUCUUGACAUACUAUGCAAUCUAAGAGAUUAGACGUUCCCUUCGGGACAUGGAUACAGGUGGUUGCAUGGUUGUCGUCAGCUCGUGUCGUGAGAUGUGGUUUAAGUCCCGCACGAGCGCAACCCUUAUUUAUCAGUUGCCAGCAUUAGUUGGCACUCCUGGUUGAGACUUGUCGGUGACAACGGAAGAAGGUGGGGAUUGACGUCAUCAUCAUGGCCCUUUAUGACUGGACUACCACUGCUCAACUUGCUGUCACCAAGUUGCGAACCUCUCGCGGGAAGGUAUACUCUUAAAGCCAUUCUCAGUUCGGAUUGUAGGUUGCAACUCGCCUACAUGAAGUCGGAAUCGCUAGUAAUCGCGGAUCAGCAUGCCGCGGUGAAUAUGUUCCCGGGCUUUGUACACACCGCCCGUCACACCAUGAGAGUUUGUAACACCCAAAGUCGGUGGGGUAACCUUUUAGGAACCAGCCGCCUAAGGUGGGACAGAUGAUUACGGUGAAGUCGUAACAAGGUAGCCGUAGGAGAA